rnacentral:rRNA from 1 species
UCAAGCUACUAAGGGCAUGCGGUGAAUGCCUAGGCACUUAAAGGCGAUGAAGGACGUGAAAAGCUGCGAUAAGCAACGGUGAGGAGCACAUAUCCAUUGACCCGUUGAUUUCCGAAUGGGGGAACCCUAUAUACGACUGCUUGAAUACAUAGAGCAGAACGAGCUAACUCAGGGAAGUGAACCAUCUCAGUACCUGAAGGAAGAGAAAACAACAGUGAUUCCGUGAGUAGCGGCGAGCGAAAACGGACCAGCCUAAACCGAUUGGGCUUGCUCAAUCGGGGUCGUGGGACCAGACAUAAUGGGACGAGAAGAUUAGAGGAAUUGUGUGGAAAAGCACACCAUAGAGCGUGAUAGUCGCGUACUCGAAAAUUUUCAGAUCUUAGUUUGGCACCCGAGUAAUGCGGGACACGAGGAAUCUUGCAUGAAUUUGCCGGGACCAUCCGGUAAGGCUAAAUACUCUUAAGUGACCGAUAGUGAACGAGUACCGUGAGGGAAAGGUGAAAAGAACCCCGGUGAGGGGAGUGAAAUAGUACCUGAAACCGCAUGCUUACAAGCAGUCGGAGGGCUUCGGCCUGACGGCGUGCCUUUUGCAUAAUGAGCCGGCUAGUAGAUGUCACAGGCAAGGUUAUAAGAUAAUUGAGCCGAAGCGAAAGCGAGUCUUAAUAGGGCGUAUAGUCUGUGGUAUCUGGACGUGAAACGGGAUGAUCUAGGCAUGGGCAGGAUGAAGCGUGGGUAACACCACGUGGAGGUCCGAACCAGUUAAGGUUGAAAACUUUUUGGAUGACCUGUGCCUGGGGGUGAAAGGCUAAUCAAAUUCCGUGAUAGCUCGUUCUCGCCGAAAUAUCUUUAGGGAUAGCCUCGGAUUUAUCAUUGUGGUGGUAAAGCACUGACUGGACUAGGGGCCUCACAAGGUUACCGAAUUCAAUCAAACUCUGAAUGCCAUAAAUGACUGUCCGGGAGUCAGACUGCGGGUGCUAAGAUUCGUAGUCGAGAGGGAAAGAACGUAGAUCACCAGCUAAGGUCCCGAAGUAAUAGUUAAGUGGAAAAGGAAGUGGGGAAGCACUGACAGCCAGGAGGUUUGCUUAGAAGCAGCAAUCCUUUAAAGAAAGCGUAAUAGCUCACUGGUCAAGUAGCCCUGCACCGACAAUAUAACGGGGCUUAAACUAUUCACCGAAGCUUUGGAUGAAUUUAUUCAUGGUAGGCGAGCAUUCUGUAGCUGUGAAGCGGUUUCGUAAGAUCCGUUGGAGCAAUCAGAAAAGACUUUGUCGGCAUUAGUAGCGAUAACGUAUGUGAGAACCAUACGCACCGAAAACCUAAGGUUUCCUGCGUCAAGUUAAUCUGCGCAGGGUUAGUCUGUACCUAAGGCGAGGCCGAGAGGCGUAGUCGAUGGAAAUCCGGUUAAUAUUCCGGAACCAUGGGUAUGUGAUGUGGGUUGACGCAACAGGGUAGGCAAGACAGCUGAUGGAUGCUGUUGAAGUAAAUAGGCCGUCGUUUAGGCAAAUCCGGACGACACCAGGCUAAAUAUACGGACGAAAGUACAGAGCUUCGGCUCCGGAACAAGUUGCUGACCCCAGUUGCCAAGAAAAUUCCCGUUCAUCUAUACAUACCCCACUGGCAGUACCGCAAACCGACACAGGUAGGUGGGGUGAGAAUCCUAAGGUGCUUGUGAGAACCCUCGUUCAGGAACUCGGCAAAAUGUACCCGUAACUUCGGGAGAAGGGUAGCCGCGUUCACCAAGAACGCGGUCGCAGAGAAAUGUUCCAGGCGACUGUUUAACAAAAACACAGGUCUCCGCAAAGUUGUAAAGACGACGUAUGGGGGCUGACGCCUGCCCAAUGCUGGAAGGUUAAGAGGAGUGGUUAGUCGAAAGGCGAAGCUGCGAAUCGAAGCCCCAGUGAAUGGCGGCCGUAACUAUAACGGUCCUAAGGUAGCGAAAUUCCUUGUCGGGUAAGUU